CCCUUAGACGUUCUGGGCCGCACGCGCGCUACACUGACCAGUGCAACAAGCAUCCGUCCUUGGCCGACAUGCCCGGGCAAUCUUUGAACGCUGGUCGUGAUGGGGAUAGACUUUUGCAAUUUUUGGUCUUCAACGAGGAAUUCCUAGUAAACGCAAGUCAUCAACUUGCAUUGAUUACGUCCCUGCCCUUUGUACACACCGCCCGUCGCACCUACCGAUUGAAUGGUCCGGUGAAGCCUCCGGAUUGGCGCGCACCUCGGUGCCGCCGAGAAGUUGGCUAAACCUUACCAUUUAGAGGAAGGUGAAGUCGUANCA
rnacentral:rRNA from 1 species